AAAAGCGGAGGAAAAGAAACCAACCGGGAUUGCCUUAGUAACGGCGAGUGAAGCGGCAAAAGCUCAAAUUUGAAAUCUGGUACCUUCGGUGCCCGAGUUGUAAUUUGGAGAGGGCAACUUUGGGGCCGUUCCUUGUCUAUGUUCCUUGGAACAGGACGUCAUAGAGGGUGAGAAUCCCGUGUGGCGAGGAGUGCGGUUCUUUGUAAAGUGCCUUCGAAGAGUCGAGUUGUUUGGGAAUGCAGCUCUAAGUGGGUGGUAAAUUCCAUCUAAAGCUAAAUAUUGGCGAGAGACCGAUAGCGAACAAGUACAGUGAUGGAAAGAUGAAAAGAACUUUGAAAAGAGAGUGAAAAAGUACGUGAAAUUGUUGAAAGGGAAGGGCAUUUGAUCAGACAUGGUGUUUUGUGCCCUCUGCUCCUUGUGGGUAGGGGAAUCUCGCAUUUCACUGGGCCAGCAUCAGUUUUGGUGGCAGGAUAAAUCCAUAGGAAUGUAGCUUGCCUCGGUAAGUAUUAUAGCCUGUGGGAAUACUGCCAGCUGGGACUGAGGACUGCGACGUAAGUCAAGGAUGCUGGCAUAAUGGUUAUAUGCCGCCCGUCUUGAACCACGGACCA
rnacentral:rRNA from 1 species